UUUAAUAUGGCAGAUUAGUGCAAUGAAUUUAAAUUUCAUAAAUAAAGGGUAACUUUUAUUAAAA
rnacentral:tRNA from 1 species